CUUUUAUUAAACCUAAAAUUAAAUUAAACUAAGUUCUUAAAUAAAAAUUGAAUUAAUUAAAUUUAUUAGAUUGAAUAAGAGUAAGAAGUAGAGAAAGGGGUGUGAAGAUAAAGGGAUAUGGUAUGAGUGAGUAAAAAGGUAGAGGAAGAAAGCCCAAAAGGGUCCCAAUUUAAUUGAUAAAUUGUAAUUAUAAUGAAUAUUUCAAAUAAAAAAUAAUAAAUAAAAUGAAUAGAUAAUAAUUAAUAAAUAAAAAAACUAAAGAAACUUAAAUAGAGAGGAGGGGCGACACUCCUUUCUCUACCCUCAUCAAUCACAUUCUCUUUUUUUUUUGACUUAAUUAUAAUUUUAGUUCUCCUAUUUUAUUUUAUUUUUUAGUUUUGGUCUUCCCAUUUUAAAAAUCACGAAUUUUGUCCAUUUUUUAAAUUUUGUGUUGGAUUUUUGUUCUUUUUUGAGGACUAAAAUCCAACCCAAAAACUAAAAAAAAAAACGACCAAAAUCGUGGUUUUUAAAAUGAUGGAUCAAAAUCCAAAAAAGGGGUAAAAUAGGAGGAUCAAAGUUGCAAUUAAGCUUUUUUAUUUAUUUAUCAAAAUGAAAAAAUAAUAAUAAAAACAAAGUAUCAGCAUGUGAGCUCUUAUUUCUCAAUUUCAUUUAAUAAAAAUAAAACAUAAAAAAGA
rnacentral:lncRNA from 1 species